AUUGAACGCUGGCGGCCGGCCUAACACAUGCAAGUCGAACGAGUGGCGGACGGGUGAGUAAUUUCUGGGAAACUGCCCUAUGGAGGGGGAUAACUACUUGAAACGGUAGCUAAUACCGCCUACCAUCGGAUGUGCCCAGGUGGGAUUAGGUAGUUGGUGGGGUAACGGCGCACCAAGGCGACGAUCCCUAGCUGGUCUGAGAGGCUGACCAGCCACACUGGAACUGAGACACGGUCCAGACUCAUACGGGAGGAAGCAGUGGGGAAUAUUGCACAAUGGGCGCAAGCCUGAUGCAGCCAUGCCGCGUGAAUGAAGAAGGCCUGCGGGUUGUAAAGUACUUUCGGCGAGGAGGCGUUACUCGCAGAAGAAGCACCGGCUAACUCCGUGCCAGCAGCCGCGGUAAUUC
rnacentral:rRNA from 1 species